GGAGAGGUGUCCGAGUGGUCGAAGGAGCACGCCUGGAAAGUGUGUAUAGCGGUGACGUUAUCGUGGGUUCGAAUCCCAUCCUCUCCGCCA
rnacentral:tRNA from 1 species